CGACCGAUAGUGAACCAGUACCGUGAGGGAAAGGUGAAAAGAACCCCUGUUAGGGGAGUGAAAUAGAACCUGAAACCAUAUGCCUACAAUGUGUCGGAGUCCCGCUUCGGCGGGAUGACGGCUUGCCUUUUGCAUAAUGAGUCUGCGAGUUAUUGUCAGUGGCGAGCCUAAGGUGUUAUGCACCGGAGGCGAAGGGAAACCGAGUGCCAAUAGCGCGACCAAGUCGCUGGCAAUAGACCCGAAGCGGAGGUGAUCUACUCUUGAGCAGGUUGAAGCCCAGGUAACACUGGGUGGAGGACCGAACUCGUGAAUGUUGAAAAAUUCUGAGAUGACUUGAGAGUAGGAGCGAAAGACUAAUCAAACCCCGUGAUAGCUGGUUCUCUCCGAAAUCGCUUGAGGGCGAGUCUUAUGGAAGUACCCGGCGGAGGUAGAGCACUGAAUGGCUUAGGGGCCCCACCAGGCUGCCAAAACCAAUCAAACUCCGAAUGCCGCCGGUCUCAGUAUCAUAGGAGUUAGGCCGUAGGUGAUAAGAUUUACGGCCGAGAGGGCAACAGCCCAGACCAUCAGCUAAGGUGCCCAAAUGUGGUUAAGUGGAAAGGAUGUGACGUUGCUUAGACAGUGAGGAUGUUGGCUUAGAGGCAGCCAUCAUUUAAACAGUGCGUAAUAGCUGACUCAUCGAGCGAUGUCGCGCCGAAAAUGAUUGGCGAUUAAACCACAUACCGAAGCUAUGGAUUCGUUUCCGGUUCGCCGGAGACGAGUGGUAGGAGAGCGUAAUCAAUGCUGCGAAGCAGAACGGAAACGGACUGUGGAGCGUUGAUUAGUGAGAAUGCAGACACGAGUAGCGAUAAACCAGAUGAGAAUUCUGGUCGCCGUAAACCCAAGGUUUCCUGGGCCAGGUUCGUCCUCCCAGGGUUAGCCGGGAGCUAAGACAAGGCCGUAAGGCGUAGUCGAUGCACAGCAGGUUAAAUAUUCCUGCGCCGGCCGGGGUUAAGGCUGCGGAUGACGCAUGGGAACACAUCAACUAGACAAUCGAAUGUCGAGCCUAGCCUUCGGGCGAAGCGCAUUGGUGGGUUCCUGUGCCGAGAAAAGUCUGCAGUUGUUCCCCCGGUCGCCCGUACCGUAAACCGACACAGGUGGGUGAGUGUAAAUGCACUCAGGCGCGCGAGAGAGACCUCUCUAAGGAACUCGGCACAUUAGCCCCGUAACUUCGGGAGAAGGGGUGCCUGAAACCGCUGCAGCGAUGUGGCGGCGUAAGGUCUCAGUAAAUUGCGUUUAGCGACUGUUUAACAAAAACACAGCACUCUGCCAAGUCGUCAAGACGACGUAUAGGGUGUGACACGUGACCAAUGCGGAAAGAUUAAACUAUGGGGUCAGCCGCAAGGCGAAGCUCCGUAGCCAAGUCCCCGUGAAUGUCGGCCGUAACUAUAACGGUCCUAAGGUAGCGAAAUUCCUUGUCGGGUAAGUUCCGACCUGCACGAAUCGUGUAACGAGUUGGGCGCUGUCUCAACGGGGUGCUCAGUGAAUUUGUAUUGGCGGUGAAGAUGCCGCCUACCCGUGGAAGGACGGAAAGACCCUAUGCACCUUAACUGUACUCUGUCACUGUUGUUUCGGUUUUCAUGCUCAGCGUAAGUGGGAGACUUUGAGAUUGCCCUUUAGGGGGUAGUUGAGUCGUCAAUGAGACACCACCCUUGGGGAUUGAAACAUCUAACACCGGUCCUGUGAAUCCAGGCGGAGGACAAUGGCAGACGGUCAGUUUUACUGGGGCGGUAUCCUCCCAAAGAGUAACGGAGGAGCGCGAUGGUCGGUUCAACCUGGUUGGCAAUCAGGUGAUGAGUGCAUUGGCAUAAACCGGCCUAACUGUGAGACCUACAAGUCGAGCAGAUGCGAAAGCAGGUCAAAGUGAUCCGGCGCUUGAAAAUGGAAUCGGCGUCGCUCAACGGACAAAAGGUACGCUAGGGAUAACAGGCUGAUUUUGCCCAAGAGUUCAUAUCGACGGCAAAGUUUGGCACCUCGAUGUCGGCUCGUCACAUCCUGGGGCUGGAGAAGGUCCCAAGG
rnacentral:rRNA from 1 species